GUUUAUGUAGGGGGGCGGUAGUAAUCAGCGAUCGUGCUCUUGUUCAGAUGCGGUGUGCCCUUCCUCCCGGGUUGGCCGGAAACCGCACUCCCCGAGAUUGAUCCCGUUGUGUCCUGCAAAUUGAUCGAUCGGCGAUGACCUAAUUCUCGAGAUCCCUAGAUAUACGUGAUCCCUCGCGAAGGUGAUGACUCCGAGAUCCGCGAACACGCGCCACGCGAUCGAUUCGUGCACGCUGCAGCUCCACGCAUGGAAGCCCUUCCAACUGCAAACCCUCGCUGGCUCCGAUCCGUCGAAAUCAUACCCCUUUCGUUCCAAGAAGCCCUGCCUCUCCGAUCGCUCCACCGCCCCCGCAGCCGUCGUCGCCGCCGCCGCCGCCGGCCUCGAUCUCUCGCGGCUCAGCCUGCUCGACGAGCCCCCGCCGCCGCCACCGCCUCCGAGGCGGGAGGAGGGGCUCCAGUGGUUCGCUCGGAAGCGGCGGCGGCGUGGUUCGCGGUCGGUGUCGGGGCGGAGCUCCGAUCGCAGCGGGACCCGCCGCCGCGGCGGAGUCUCAGCCGCGUACGCCACCUGCUCUGACUUCCCGUUUGCGGCUGGUGGGACGGAUUCGAGCGGGGAGCUGUUCGUGAUUGGGGACGGUAGCUGGGGAUCGGAUGUUAGCGAGGCAGCCCGGAUGACGAGGAGGGAGGGUAGGGAGGUCGGCGGAGGAGGGGGAUUGGAAAGGGAGGGCUCUGCACUGGGGGCGCUUCAAGGCAUUGGGAGCGUAGUGGUUCUGGAAUCGCAGGGGAACGAGUCCGGCUAUGGGAGCGAGCCCGGCUAUAGGGGUGAUGGGGAGCUCGGCUAUGAUGAUGAGUUCGAGGACGAUGACGAUGAUGGGAAGCAGUUGUUCUGGGGUGAAGAGAUUGGAGACACUGAUCAGAUGGAAAUUGGCAACGAGACUAAAUUUGCAGAGCAGAAGGUCCACCAUCGAGGCAGGCGUAAAAAGCAUGAUUGGAGAAUAAUGGCUUCCUUGAGAUAACAAUCCAUGCGUCCUAUUCUCAUUUGCUAGAUAAUAUUAUGAAAUUAAUUUCAUGGUAAUAGUAAAGAUCAUGAGCAGCGAAGAAAGCCAAGUGUUUCAGAGAAAAUCGCAGGCGUUCAAAUCCAUUUUCGCUGUUUUGGCUAUUUGGCUCGAUCAGGUCCCGAUGCCACCCAUAAAAGAACGAAGAACACAACUGUGCCAAGUAUAAACAAGAGUCCUACAUUCGAACAAUCGGGAAUUCAACAAAAUUCACACUCCAUAUAGAUAGCUCCGUCCUGAUCCGAGGCAGAUCUACGAGGGAACAUACAAAGCCCUAAAA